CAGUAGCCACGGUAAUACGGAGGGCGCGAGCGUUACCCGGAUUUACUGGGCGUAAAGGGCGUGUAGGCGGCCUGGGGCGUCCCAUGUGAAAGGCCACGGCUCAACCGUGGAGGAGCGUGGGAUACGCUCAGGCUAGAGGGUGGGAGAGGGUGGUGGAAUUCCCGGAGUAGCGGUGAAAUGCGCAGAUACCGGGAGGAACGCCGAUGGCGAAGGCAGCCACCUGGUCCACUUCUGACGCUGAGGCGCGAAAGCGUGGGGAGCAAACAGGAUUAGAUACCCCCGUAGUCCCUGUCUCUUAUAC
rnacentral:rRNA from 1 species